rnacentral:rRNA from 1 species
AACGUAGGACGCAAGCGUUAUCCGGAGUUACUGGGCGUAAAGCGCGGGCAGGCGGUUCUGCCAGUCUGAUGUGAAAUCUCCCCGCUCAACGGGGAGCAGCCAUUGGAAACUACAGAACUGGAGUCUGACAGAGGUAGGCGGAAUUCCGGGUGGAGUGGUGAAAUGCGUAGAUAUCGGGAGGAACACCGGUGGCGAAGGCGGCCCCCUGGUUGGAUACUGACGCUGAGACGCGAAAGCGUGGGGAGCAAACAGG